CCCGAGAUGCAGGCGUGGUUCUCCUCCGGUUCUGGGCCCUCGUCCUCCUCGGCGGCGGCGUCCCCCCAGCCGUCGCUGCUCGCGGAGUGGAACUCCUACGCCGCCGCCCGCUCUGCCGAGGAUGACGCCGGCGAAGGCUUUGGGAUCGACAUCGAGGCCGCCGUCCGCUCCGCCAACGACCGCGUUGCCGGCACCUUCGGCGCGGUCUCGAAAGGUGUUAGAGGAUUGCCUGGCAGCUUUAAGUCCACAACAAGCAGUGUUCCAUCCGGCAAAUCUCUCAUGUACUUUGGUCUAUUUCUUGCUAGUGGCAUAUUCCUAGUCUUCAUCGCGUUCACAAUAUUUCUGCCAGUCAUGGUUAUAAUGCCUCAAAAGUUUGCAAUCUGUUUCACGGUGGGAUGUGCCUUCAUAAUCGGAUCAUUCUUUGCACUUAAAGGGCCUAAGAAUCAGCUCUAUCAUAUGAUUUCCAAAGAGAGAUUACCUUUCACUGUGGGAUUUGUCAGCAGCAUGGUAGCUACCAUCUAUGUGUCAAUGGUGCUUCAUAGCUACAUACUUUCUGUUUUCUUCUCCGCGCUUCAGGUCCUUGCUCUAGCAUAUUAUGCUAUCUCAUACUUCCCUGGUGGAUCUGCUGGAAUGAAGUUUCUAUCAUCCACACUUAUGUCCUCGGUGCUGAGAUGCUUCGGCCGAUGAGUUCACCCAGAUAGUUCAUAUCAAGAUGAUUGGAGGCAGUGUCAUCAAGAUAUUUGCGGGACAGCUUCUUUCCAGUGCCGACUGCUGAACUGAUACAUAUUACAGAACGAUCUAGCACUGAACCAGUUAUAUUGCAACUUGAUUUGAUGAGCUAUGUUGCGGGGCGCGACUAGUCAGAUUUUUUUGUAGAACUCAGUUAUCCGCAUAUUGAUGACAUCAAUUUAGGCUAAUAUUUCAUUGUACAAAAUAUCUCAACACUGGAACACAAUUUGUACUCAUGUAUGCUCCAUGUUCUCAUACCUUCCUUUCAGUUCAGAACUUACAAACUGAUCACAUACCACUUGUUCA